rnacentral:misc_RNA from 1 species
GAACGCACCUUGCGCCCUUUGGCUAUUCCGAAGGGCAUGCCUGUUUGAGUAUCAUGAACUCCUCAACUCUCAUGGUUUGCCAUGAUGAGCUUGGACUUUGGGGGUCUUGCUGGCCUAUGGUCGGCUCCUCUCAAACAGAUCAGCUUGCCAGUGUUUGGUGGCACCACGGGUGUGAUAACUAUCUACGCUUGUGGUUUUCCACCAGAUAACCUUCAGCGAUGGAGGUUCACUGGAGCUCAUAAAUGUCUCUCCUCAGCGAAGACAGCUCUUUGAACGUUUGAUCUCAAAUCAGGUAGGACUACCCGCUGAACUUAAG